GACGAACGCUGGCGGCGUGCUUAACACAUGCAAGUCGAACGGAAAGGCCCUGCUUUUGUGGGGUGCUCGAGUAGCGAACGGGUGAGUAACACGUGAGUAACCUGCCCUUGACUUUGGGAUAACUUCAGGAAACUGGGGCUAAUACCGGAUAGGAGCUCCUGCUGCAUGGUGGGGGUUGGAAAGUUUCGGCGGUUGGGGAUGGACUCGCGGCUUAUCAGCUUGUUGGUGGGGUAGUGGCUUACCAAGGCUUUGACGGGUAGCCGGCCUGAGAGGGUGACCGGCACAGUGGGAAUUGGGACACGGCCCGGACGCUACGGGGGGGCAGAGGGGGGGAUUUUGGCCCAAGGGCGGGAGGCUGAAUGCGGCACGGCCGGGGGGGGGAGGAGGGCCUCGGGUUGGAAACCGCUUUCGCCUGUGACGAAGCGUGAGUGACGGUAAUGGGUAAAGAAGCACCGGCUAACUACGUG
rnacentral:rRNA from 1 species